GGGGUUGUGACUUAGAGGUAGAGCGCUCGCCUACCAUGUGUGAGGCAUGGGGUUCGAUCCUCAGCACCA
rnacentral:tRNA from 1 species